ACACAGGGACUUUCCAAUUAUCCAGCAAUGGUACUGUUCCUUUACCCUCUCUUCGAUUUUGAGAAAGUAGUCAUGUUGGGAGUCUGGCUCUCGAGAUUCGGAGGAUGGUGCCUCUUCGAUUUUGGAGCAAGCAAUCUUGUUGGGAGUGUUUUCUCGAAUGUGAGUAAAGGUUGGGCAUGUUUGCUAGUCUACCUUGCCACGAAGCACAGAGGUUGACACACAGGGACUUUCCAAUUAUCCAGCAGUGGUACUGUUCCUUUACCCUUGUGGGUAAUAAUAUGGUAGCUAGACCUUCAAAAUUUAUGUGUCUAAACUUUGUUAGUGCUGUUUCUUUGCUAUUCUUUUACCUUUCUUGGUCAGAGCGAUGUAGUGGAAGCUGCAAGCUUCACGUGCUCAACUUUGGCAGAGAACUUUGGCAAAGUUAUCUGUGGUACCCAUGAGCUAUUGUUGCGUGUGGGAAGUAGGUGAUUGAACAGUAAGAUUCAUGUGCUUUCUACUUCACCAGAAGUCUUCGACAGAAUGCCCAUAAUUUCCGCAAAGCUGAGUGUGCGUGUGACAGGUGCUGACAAGACUAGAAAAGUAGGUGCCUCUUCGAUUUCUGAGAUCGGCCCUCGUGGUCUCUGAGUAGCCCAGCUUUUGAGAAAGCGAGCGCCUCUUCGAUUGAUUCGGAGAACGAUGCCUCAUCGAUUUUUGAGAAAGCAAUCAUGUUGGGGGUCUGGCUCUCGAAGAUUCGGGGAGCAGUGUUUCUUCGAUUUUUGAGAAAGUAAUCAUGUUGGGAGUCUGGCUCUCGAGAUUCGGAGGGCGGUGCUUCUUCGAUUUUGGAGCAAGCAGUCUUGUUGGGAGUUUUUUCUCGAAUGUGAGUAAAGGUUGGGCAUGUUUGCUAGUCUACCUUGCCACGAAGCACAGAGGUUGACACACAGGGACUUUCCA
rnacentral:lncRNA from 1 species